UACCCUUGACUUGUACGGAAUCCCGCAGAAAUGCGGGAGUGCCCGAAAGGGAGCCGUAACACAGGUGCUGCAUGGCUGUCGUCAGCUCGUGUCGUGAGAUGUUGGGUUAAGUCCCGCAACGAGCGCAACCCUUGUCAUUAGUUGCUACAUUCAGUUGGGCACUCUAAUGAGACUGCCGGUGACAAACCGGAGGAAGGUGGGGAUGACGUCGGAGGAAUUCCA
rnacentral:misc_RNA from 1 species